GCAUAUCAAUAAGCGGAGGAAAAGAAACCAACUGGGAUUACCUUAGUAACGGCGAGUGAAGCGGUAAAAGCUCAAAUUUGAAAUCUGGUACUUUCAGUGCCCGAGUUGUAAUUUGUAGAAUUUGUCUUUGAUUAGGUCCUUGUCUAUGUUCCUUGGAACAGGACGUCAUAGAGGGUGAGAAUCCCGUUUGGCGAGGAUACCUUUUCUCUGUAAGACUUUUUCGAAGAGUCGAGUUGUUUGGGAAUGCAGCUCAAAGUGGGUGGUAAAUUCCAUCUAAAGCUAAAUAUUGGCGAGAGACCGAUAGCGAACAAGUACAGUGAUGGAAAGAUGAAAAGAACUUUGAAAAGAGAGUGAAAAAGUACGUGAAAUUGUUGAAAGGGAAGGGCAUUUGAUCAGACAUGGUGUUUUUUGCAUGCACUUGCCUCUCGUGGGCUUGGGCCUCUCAAAAAUUUCACUGGGCCAACAUCAAUUCUGGCAGCAGGAUAAAUCAUUAAGAAUGUAGCUACUUCGGUAGUGUUAUAGCUUUUUGGAAUACUGUUAGCCGGGAUUGAGGACUGCGCUCCGGCAAGGAUGCUGGCAUAAUGAUUAAAAGCCGCCCGUCUUGAAACACGGACC
rnacentral:rRNA from 1 species